rnacentral:rRNA from 1 species
CGGGAAACUGGGGCUAACUCUCGAUAGGCGAAGAAUCUGGAAUGAGUCUUUACCUAAAUAGUGCAACGUUAUGCUCGUUGCAUCGCCCAAGGAUGAGGCCGCGACCGAUCAGGUUGUUGGCGAGGUAAUGGCUCACCAAGCCUUUUACCGGUGCGGGCCGUGGGAGCGGGAGCCCGGAGAUGGGCACUGAGACAAGGGCCCAGGCCCUACGGGGCGCAGCAGUCGCGAAAACUUUGCAAUAAGCGAAAGCUUGACAGGGCUAUCCCGAGUGCCAUCCGCUGAGGAAGGCUUUUACCCAGUCUAGAACGCUGGGGGAAUAAGGAGAGGGCAAGUCUGGUGUCAGCCGCCGCGGUAAUACCAGCUCUCCGAGUGGUGUGGAUGUUUAUUGGGCCUAAAGCAUCCGUAGCUGGCUAAGUUAGUCCCUUGUUAAAUCCACCGAAUUAAUCGUUGGAUUGCGGGGGAUACUGCUUGGCUAGGGGACGAGAGAGGCAGACGGUAUUUUCGGGGUAGGGGUGAAAUCCUAUAAUCCCGGGAAGACCACCAGUGGCGAAGGCUGUCUGCUAGAACGCGCCCGACGGUGAGGGAUGAAAGCUGGGGGAGCAAACCGGAUUAGAUACCCGGGUAGUCCCAGCUGUAAACGAUGCAGACUCGGUGAUGGGAUGGCCUCGAGCUUUCCCAGUGCCGCAGGGAAGCCGUUAAGUCUGCCGCCUGGGGCGUCCGCUCGCAAGAC